AUAUAGAGUCUCACUCUGUGGUCCAGGCUGAAGUACAGUGGCAUGAUCCCAGGUCACUGCAACCCCCACCUCCCGGGUUCAAGUGAUCCUCCUGCCUCAGCCUCCCGAGUAGCUGGUAUUACAGGCGUGUGCCACAAAGCCUGGCUAAGUUUUGUAUUUUUAGUAGAGACGGGGUUUCACCAUGUUGGCCAGGUUGGUCUCGAACUCCUGACCUCAAGUGAUCCACUCACUUUGGCCUUUCAACGUGCUGGGAUUACAGGCGAGAGUCACCGCACCCGGACGACUCUGACAUUUUUGAAGAGUCCAGAAUCCUGUUACACCUGGGAUUUAGGCACUUUCAAUCUGAAAAAAUACAUAUCCUUUCAGCACUCUGGACGGACUUGAGAACUGUCCUUACGUGACCUAAAGCUGGAGUAUUUUGAGAUUGGAGAAUUAAGGUAAGCGACUUUAUCUUCCUGAUCCUUGUGAAACCAAAAAUAGCUUUUGGAGUUGACGACCUCCUGCAGCACAGCUUGGGUUGUGGUUCUUGACCUCUCGGUGUGUCUUCCUGUGCCGCUCCAAUGUGUUCGGGAAGCUGGCUCCCCAUAACCUCUCCCCGACCUGGUUCUCAGAGUCUAGUCCACUUAUUCAUUGUGCCUAGGAAGCUCUCCCUCUGUCCCUAGUGGAGGGAGGAGCCCACCAUCUCCUAGUGAAUGCGCCACUUGUAGCAGAAGGUGCAGGAUGCUCCAGCUGUCUUGUGAAAACAUGUGGAGACAGCCUUGGGGAAAAGAGGAAAAGGUGAGGUGAGGGUUAUAUAAUCAGAUUGAAACACCUUUGGGACAUCCAGAACAUGAGCUCUUCCUCCUUUCCCAGCCAAUCCGUGCUUCCUCCUUUCACCUCCUUGAAUUCUAUGCUCCUUCCACACUAAGGCUGAGGGUGCAGGAGGUAAAGGGUUAGAGGUUAAGACUGAGUGCUUCAGGUAGACUUGGGUUUUCUUGGUUUUGCUACUUGCCUCAUUUUGGACAAGUCACUCAGCCUCUCAAAGCCUUGGUCUCCUCAUUAGUAAAAUAGGGAUGGUAUUAGUGCCUGCCUCAUGAAGAUGUUGUUUGUGUUGAGUGAGAUAUUGGAGCAAAACAGCUUAGCAGGCUGCCUUGCACUGAGGAAGAAAUGCUCCAAAAGGGAAGAGAGUUUUUGCAAAUUAUUCCUCAAUUAUGCCAUUUAGAAUUCCUUCCAUGUAUCAGGCUAUUUUGAAGUCUUUCAUUUGCUGUCCCCCCAGCCUUUCACCUAUCACCAAGUCAGCCUGGGAAACAGCUGAGAAUCACCUUCCCAGUUGUGCCCAGCCCCUUACCCAAAGCAGAGUUGAUUCCCCCCUCCCCUGGACGGCAGCGGGCUAGUGAAGGCAUGUCUCCACUAUACCAUGGCUACUGCACUGGGUUGAAAUGUCCCUUGCCCCUUCCCCUGCCCAUUCCCCCUAUUGCUGGUGAAAUUGCUUAGAGCAAGGACUGUCUUACACAUCACAGGAUCUGGCAUAGUGCCUGACCGAGGGUGAAACAACAAAUGAAUGAGUAAUUGAAAGGAGAGAGAAAAAGAGAUAGAGAAGUAACCAAAAGAAGAAAGUUUUUAAAGGUUCAGAGGAAAGAAUGAGGUCAGUUGCAAUUUUUUUUAAGUAAGAUGUUGGAAAGAAUAAAUGACAUGAUGAAAAGGAAACUGACAUGAUUCCUAUCAUGAAUUUGAAAGCUAUGCAAGGGUGGAAAGGUGGGUGAGAAGCUGUGGACUGGUGAGAAGACAGAGAAGUCAGAACUGAGAGCAUAGCAGAGAACUGUACUUCUGUUGUGCUACAUAUGUCAUCUUCAUCUUUUGUAUUGUGCCUUAAAUUUUCAAAAGCGCAUUUGCGUUUCAAAUCUGCUGUGAUAGUCAGCAUUCCUGUGGCAUGCAGAGGUGAAGAGCAUGAGGCCUUGCCCUUCAGUCAAGGUGGGGAUACUGGCACACAUAGGAUACUACAUACUCCCUAGGUGUCUGUGAGGAUGGUGGAGGGGAUUUUCUCCAUGCCGGGAGGCUUCCUGGAGCAGGUGCUGCCUCUCGUGACUCUUGAAAGAUGCUUGUGAAUAAAGCAUACUGGGAGCUGAGCUGCUGUUUAGUAAUUAAAAAUCCUUUCCAUUGUUUAGAGCUCAGCACCUUUGUGCAUUCAUAUUACGCAUUCAUUUUCGUAUCAUUGUUGAAUUUCUCACUUCUGCUACUGCAAUGUAUGUCUACAGCUGACAAGUCUUCCUUGGGAGCCCUACGUAGCUCUUUUUUUUCUUUUCUUUCUUUUUUUUUUUUUUUUUUUUGAGACGGAAUCUUGCUCUGUCACCCAGGCUGGAGUGCAGUGGCGCAAUCUCGGCUCACUGUAAGCUCCACCUCCCGGGUUCACGCCAUUCUCCUGCCUCAGCCUCUUGAGUAGCUGGGACUACAGGUGCCCACCACCACGCCUGGCUACUUUUUUUUGUAUUUUUAUUAGAGACGGGGUUUCACUGUGUUAGCCAGGAUAGUCUUGAUCUCCUGACCUUGUGAUCUGCCCGCCUUGGCCUCGUAGCUCUUUUUGACCCUCAGGGACAGUCACUGAAUUAUGUCUUGGGAGCCCAUGCUUCUGAGGCAGGCUUAGGGAGCAGGAGAGCAUACAGGUGUAGCAGCCUUUCCAGCUGAUCCCCAUGCCCUGCUGCACCUGGAGGGCUGGAACAAGCUAUUCUCAUAUUGGGGAAAAGGGCUGAUGGGACCUCAGUCAUGUGGCAGAGAAUCUGAAAGCCAGAAGCUUGGCAGGUCUGUCUCGGGGUGGGGUGACGGAGAGACAUUUCCCUAGAAUUCAGCUGCUGGGAGCAGAAAGACAGAGCAGGGGCAAGUGCUGGGUUUCUGAGGCCCGCAGUCCUGAGCAUGGCCUCAGGCAGUCUGUUCUAUGACAGAACCUGAAGAAAGGCCCAGGCAUUUGCAUCUAUGUGUGCAGUUCUACUUGUCCUAAAGGCACUUCUCACACUGGGAGCCUGCCUGUCUGUACCUGUCUAGAAAUCAGCCUGGCUGGGACGCACACCAAUAGGAGGGCAUCCUCACCUUUCCCACCCAUGAGUCGGGACUGUUGCCUGCUGUGCAGCAAAGGCACCAGGAACACGGAGUCAGACACUUAGGGUCUACCCCAGGCUCCACUUCCCACUGCCUAUUUGACUCUGGGCAAGUCUUUUACAGCUUUUCAAACUUCUCUCUUUCUUAAAACAAAAAAAAAAAAAAAGGAAAAAAAUUUCUUGCCAGGCACAGUGGCUCACGCCUGUAAUUCCAGCAUUUUGGGAGGCUGAGGUGGGCUAAUCACUUGAGGCCAGGAGUUCGAGACCAGCCUGGCCAACAUGGUGAAACCCUGUCUCUAUUAAAAAUACAAAGAUUAGCCAGGCAUGGUGGCACACGCCUGUAAUCCUAGCUACUUGGGAGGCUUAGGCACAAGAGUCACUUGAAACUGGGAGGCAGAGUUGUAGUUAGCCAAGAUUGUGCCACUGCACUCCAGCCUGGGCAACAGAGCAAGACUCUGUCUCAAAACACACGUACAAAUUUUUUUCUUUUAUUUUUUUAAAGACAGGGUCUUAGCUAUGUGGCCCAGGCUGGCCUCCAAUCCCUGGGCUUAAGCAAUCCUCCCACCUCAGUCUCCUGAGUAGCUAGUACUAUAGGCACACACCACACACCCAGCCAGACUUCAAUUUUCCCAGCCACAUCAUGGACCAGAAGCCACUUGGUCUGGUUGUGAGGAUGACGGAACCUUGCCCGAGGAAAUGGGCAAUGAACAGGAGCCUGUUUGUUUCUCCUUCCAGCUCCUGACCUGUCUAGCUCCUGACCCUCUCAGUGUCAUUCUUGCUCACCCCUGGCCCUGCUCCCUGGAUAUGCAGACAGGAUGGGCUUCUUCCCUUUAGACCUUCACUUUGCUCUUUUGGACUCCUCUUCUGGCCUUGCCUUCCCCUGGUGUCAUCUGCUGGCUCCCUGCCUGAUACUGCCACACUGGUCAUGCUGGCCUCCUGGCCUUUGGUGACACCGCAUCAGCAGGCUCCUGCUUCCCUGUCAAGGGAUACAAGCCAGCACCGGUCUUUCGCCACAAGGUAUGUGUGUAAAGAUUGCUUCCUGUACUUGGUGUCCACAGGAUUUUAAAGAACUCCUGGCCCACUCGGAACUCUACGCUUGAAACAGAAACAUCUUCUCAAAACACCUCUGGUAUUGGCCCAUUUCUCUAUUACUGUUUCUUGUGGUUUCAUACUGAGGUUUUUGGUGCAUUGCAAUUGCCCUGGAGUUUAUUUUUAGUAAUAAAGACAGAGUUCAAUUAAUGUCAAAACAUGAGGGUAAUUGCAGAGGAAGGAUUAGUAAGUCUAGGGGAAAAUGUGCCCAACUUUUUUUCUUCUGAUAACAUCUUUCACUGAUCAUACACCGUCACACCCACAGACACGGAGCUUCCUCCGUGAUGUCUGCAAUGCACUAGGCCCAGUCGGGGAGCAGUGGCUGCGCCACCACCUGAAAACGAAAGCAUUUCUGAGUCUCUUUCAGUCCAGCUCAUCUAGCAGCCAGCCACACAGGUGACCACCCACCGUAGCUGUCACUAUGGGUGAUGAUUAUCAUUAUGGUUUUGAGGAAAGGCUGGGCUUUAGAAUAGUCAAUUCUUAUCCUCUCUCCGGGGGGAUUUAUUCUGUCUCCAGAAGCAGCAUUUCACUUUCCUGAACAUCAGCUCUUCUCCCCUGGAUUGCAGGGUCUAGGUCUUGUUCUCUGUCUGCUUCCAGCUUUUGGCAUUUUGACAGCACAUAGGACAUGCUUGGAGAACGUUUUCUUGAGUUAACUGAAUUCAGGACACUGACUUGGGGCUGGAAAGGCAAAGUGAGGAAGAAAGUAUUCCCCUUUCAGAAGCUCCCCAGUCUGCCUUAAGAAACAAAGGCAGCCCUGUCAUCUGCCCAGGACUUUACAGUUUAUAAAGUGAUUUCUCAUCCUUUCUCCUUUCUUGUAUUGCACAAAUAUCGAACGAGAACCUGCAGUGUGCCACUGUGCAGGGUGCCUAGAAUAAAGGAGAAAAGCCACUGUGCUUUCUCUGAAGGAAUCACAGGGAGUGAAGCUAGCUUCAUGGAUGCCAGAAUUUCACAGAUGAAGGGACUGGAGGCUUGGAGCAAUUGCAUUGCUUGAGAUCCCCCCUGCUCAUGGAUGGUGGCUCCCAAAUCAGGACAUGAGUCUUCUGAAUCCCUUAAACCUGCCCUGUGCCUGCCUGUUCUCCCAGCACAUUCUCUGUACUCUCUUGUGCUGCUCCUCACCCCCUCUCCAACUGUCUCUCCUUCUCCACCAUUGUCCUCUGCCCACUCCUAGUCCCUUCUUUCAGCUCUGUUUCUUCUGAAAAUGAGGAUCUUUCUCUCUACAGUGCCUCUUGUGGGACGGGUUCUGCUGAUGGGGGCUGUGUUUGGGAUCUCGCCUGGAAACACGAUCUCUCCAACUUUCCCUGGGAGCAGAGCCUUGGGUCUCACUGAACCCACCUCCCCAGCACCUUGUGUGGUGACUGGCAGGAGGUAGCCAUUCCCUCCUGUCCUCUCUGCCCUUGUCCACUUUCCUGUUAUGAGUCAGUUGCUGAGAUAGGCUAUGAGGAGUUAACAGAGUGGAUAAAAAAGAGCUUUGUCCUUCUUUAAAGCCUUCAAAAUAUACAGAUGUAUUAGUCAGGGCUUUCCAGAGAAACAGGACCAAUAGAACAUGAAGAUAGAUGCGUAUCCAUGUCUAUAUCAAUAUCUACCUUGAUAUUUAUAUCUAUAUCUAGGAGAUUUAUUUAUUAUAAGGUAUUGGCUCAUGCAAUUAUGGACCCAGAGGGGUCCUGUGAUUUGCCACCUGCAGGCUGGAGACCUAGGAAACAGCUGUCGUGUCACAAAGGGCAGAGGGCUGGAGAACCUGUAGUGUAGAUUCCAGUCCAGAUUCGAAGGCCUGAGGACCAGGAAUGCCAAGGGCAGGAGAAGAUCGAUGUCCCAGAACAAGCAAUCAGGCAGAGAUGAAAUUCAACCUUCCUGUGCCUUUCUGUUCUAUUCAGGCCUUCAGUGGGUUGAAUGAGGCCCAACCCACAUUGAAGAGGACCAUCUGCUUUACUCAGUCUCCUGGUUGAAGUGAUAAUCUCAUCUGGACAUACUCAGAAAUGCUGUUUAACCAGCUCUCUGGAAAUCCUGUGGCCCAGUCAAGUUGACACACAAAAUUAACCAUCACACUGCAGAGACACAGUCUAUCCCAAUACCUGUAUUUACUGGAGUGUGGGCACCCUGGCUUCAAGCUCACGAGAAACCAGGUCGGGAUUUAAACAAUGUUGGGUUAAAGCAAAGUUUCAUAAAGACAGAAUCAAGAAAAAAAGAAAGAGAAACCAAUCUAAGUGCCAUCCUCCCUGAGUUGCAUCUUACCUGAGUCUUCAGCCGCCGCCCCCUGCUGCUGUGGGAGGAAACGGGAAAGUGACUGGCCAUGGGGACAGGGGUCGGGGGUGUGAGGGUUAGUGGUAGCAGGGAGGUAGCACUUCUGUGAAGCCGGAAAGGAGACCUGAACCUGGCUCUCUGCUUUGCUGCUUGCCAGCCCUCUGGCUGGGAAGAAGGCUCUUGGCUCUUGUGAGCCUCGGUUUCCUCUGCAGAGUGGCCUGUUCUGAGGACAGGCUGACAUUGCUGUCCAUCAGUCUUCCAGGACCCUGAGGAUUUCAGCUCUACCCAUGGGCACUGAACUGGAACAUUCACUGGUCAUUUGCUUUCGUUUUUUUUUUUUGUUUGUUUGUUUUUUGAUACAGAGUUUCACUCUUGUUGCCUAGGGUGGAGUACAAUGGCGUGAUCUCAGCUCACCACAAGCUCUGCCUCCCGGGGUCAAGCGAUUCUCCCCAGUAGCUGAGAUUACAGGCAUGCGCCACCACGUCCGGCUAAUUUUGUAUUUUUAGUAGUGAUGGGGUUUCUCCGUGUUGGUCAGGCUGGUCUCGAACUCCUGACCUCAGGUGAUCCGUCUGCCUCAGCCUCCCAAAGUGCUGGGAUUACAGGAGUGAGCCACCGAGCCUGGCCGCUUCCGGUCUUUGGAUUUGAUUUUCCUCAAGUGUAAUUGAAAGCAGGGGCCUGGAUGGCCGCCAUAGUCCCUCCCAGCUUCGACAUUACACAUUCCUGCCAAUCCAUUUUUCAGGCUGAUAACAUUGUUCAGAGUUUAAUGGGAGCAGGGUAAGAUAGUCACCGUGUGGAGCAAAAAUUGAAGGAAAUAUUCCAGAUGUCAUGAUUUUUUACCUGUAGCCCCUCUGCUGCCACACCCUUGUGCACAUCCUCCAGACACUUUUAAAGAAUAAACUCUAUUUUCAGAAGAGUUUUAGAUUUACAGGAGAAUUGUGAAAACAGUUCAAAAAGUUCUCAUAUACCCUGCUCCCAGUUUUCCCUGUUACUAACGCUUUGCAUUAGUGUGGCACAUUUGCCACAAUUAAUGGACCAAUAUUGAUACAUUAUUAUUUACUGAAGUUGAAACAUUACUUUAGUUUUUACCUGGUCCAGGAUCCCAUCUGGGAUCCCACAUCACAUUUAGUGAUCAUGUCUUCUUAGAUUGCCCUGGGCUGUGCCGCUUUCUCAGACUCUCCUGGUUUGUGAUGACAUUGACAGUCUUGAGUUUUGAUGACCAGUUUUGACUGGUCAGGUAUUUCAUAGAACGUACCUCUGUGAGGGUUGUCUGAUUCUUCUUCUUAUUAGAUUGGGAUUAUGGAGGAAGGCCACAGAGGUAAAGUUCCGCUUUUAUGAAAUCAAGGGUAGGCACCAUCAGCAUGACCUAUCACUGAUGUUGACUUUGAUUACCUGGCUGCUGUAGUGGUUGUCAGGUUUGUCCACUUUAAAGAUACUUUUGUGUUUUUGUUCUUUCUUAACUCCCUUUUUAUAUUAAACUCUUCAGAAGGAAGUCACUGUGCAUAGCCAUCCCCUAAGAAGAGGGCAUUCCUGCUCUUCCUUCUCCAUGGCUAGAGGAUCUACAUGAACUAUUUAGAUUUUUUCUACCUGGGAGAUUUAACUCCUCUCUCCUAUUUAUUUAUUUAUAUAUCAGCAUGGACUUGCAGGCCAACAGAGAUUUUGAGAAACACAUUGAAGGAUCUGUUAACACUUGAUAUACCCAAUAAAAGCAGUGGUUGUGCCAGUGCUGAUCUGUCUUGAUGUGAAUGUGAACAAUGGGAACCUGAGCUGAGCAGUUAAUGCUAGGGUGACAGAAACUGGACCUCUCCCAAGACAUGUGACAGAGUAAUACAGCAGCCAACUUCUUCGCCAAAUUAAAGUUUUACAAGAUUUAACCUGUCAUCAAGACCUGGGAUUUUGGUGAAGGACAGAAUAACGGGCUCCCAGAUUCACAAGCCCCACCAAGAGGAUCACCCCAGGAACGCUUGGAGGCUGAGGAGUUCACUGAGGCUACUGCAUCUUGAGACUCAGGAUGAAGACCCAGCUUGGGGCUGUCAAAGAGGCCUGAAGAGGCAGAACACCCCAGAGGAGCCUGGGGCCACCACCCAGCAUCACUGUGGGAAAACGGCAGCAGGAAAUGUCCUCUCGCCUGCGUGCUCCACCUCGGUCCACGCCUUCCCUCCUUCUGGAAGCCUUGCCUGACCACUGGCCUGCCCCUUCUAUGGGAAUCACUACUGACCUUGCAGCUUAUUAUAGACUUAUAUGUUUUUUGCAUGUCUGACACCCAUGACUCCACCUGGACCUUAUGGCUCCACCCAGAAGCAAUUCAGCCCAACAGGAGGACAGCUUCAACCCAUUACGAUUUCAUCUCUGCCCCAACCACUCAGCAGCAAGCACCUGUUACCUGUCCACCCCCACCCCUUCCCCCAAACUGCCUUUGAAAAAUCCCUAACCUAUGAGCUUUGAAUAAGAUGAGUACGAACUUCAUCGCCCACGUGGCGUGGCCGGCCUCGUGUCUAUUAAAUUCUUUUUCUACUACAAUGCCGUGGUCUUUCUUUAUGCAGUGGGCAGGAAUAACCCCUUGGGCAGUAACAAAUUUGGGGUCUCAUGUGGGAUUGUGCUGGUGGCUACCUGUGUAUGAUUCGGUAGCCCCCCACUGGCAACAGGCCUGGAGGCCAGCUCAAACGGCUGCCUAGUUCUCCUGGCAGAGAGAUGGGGGCUGACUCUGGCACCAUCUCUACCGGCGGGACACUGCUGACCAUGGUGCAUGGAUGCAGUGGGCAGGAAGAAUCUCUUGGGCAGUUAUGCUAUCUAUCCAGUCCAUCUGUCAAAUGUAUCCAGACUAUGACCUCCUCUCACUUCUUGGUCGAAGCCACCCUCAUUCCUGCCUGGAAUUUUUGUAACAGCCCCUGGGCUGGGCUCCCAGCUUGUGCCUUUGCCUCUCAGUCUGUCUUCAAAACAGCAGCCAGGGUGAUCCUUUGAAAGGGCAGCCAGAGCUCAUAAGCCCAUUUGCUUCAAAACCCUCAAAGGGUUCCACCUAAUUCUGAGUAAAAGCCACAGGCCUCACUGUGGCCUGCGAGGCCCGUGGGAUGCAGCCCUGUGAUGUCUCUGAUCACGUCCUCGUCCUUUCCAUCUCAUUUCGCCCUGGCAUCCUGGCCCCUUUGUCAUAACUCAGACCCUCCAGGCAUACUUCUGCCUCAGGUUCUCUGCACCUGCUGUGUCCUCUCUAGCCUAUUUGUCCACUUCCUCAUCCCUUCUCAGUCUUUGCUCGGGUAUCAUCAUUUCCAUGAGGCCUUCCCUGGCCACCAGAUUUAACACUGAAACUUCCCCACAUCCCACGAAGCUCACUAUGCUCUUUGCUGGUUUUAUUUUCCUCCAUUGUUCUUGGUGUCUCCUAAUGGGUUCUACAAUUAAUUGUUUGAGUUGAUUUAUUAGUUUCUCUUACUCCCCUGGAAUAUAAACUUCAAGAAGGCAGUGAUUUUUGUCUUAUCUCUUUCCAAGAAAAGUAUCUGUGACAUGGUAGGCACUCCAUAAGUAUUUGUAAAACAAAUAAUUGGACUUCCUUAUACCAAAGACAGUCUGCACAGAAAACAAAUCUUUACUUCAAGCACAAACCUUUUGAUAUACAUAUAUAUGUCCAAGUUUUCCUUUUUUUUUUUUUUUUUUUUUUUUUUCAGAGAAGGGCCCUUUCUGGUUUCCCCUGCUGCCCAUCAGGAUGCACUCAGGCAGCAACUGUACAGUAAAAGGGGACACCUUUAGCCUCUGGUUUCCCAGAGCAGAGAGCUGUCAACACCAUAAGCUAUUUUUGCCUCACCUCUGGUGCUCCGGAGUGGCAGGCCAGUCACAGGUGUGGUGCAUCAGACUAUGAAGAGGCUGGGUGGCCACAACUCUGUGCUGGGAUGCUGACCUCUUUGAGGCAAACAGCAUGAGCUGGAAAAAGUGUGUCUAUCUCAGAGUUAAAAACUGGUGAAUUCCCCUGUUGCUCUUUACCAUCUCCUGGGUCCGUAUGAUCUGACUGCCACCCACUUUCCCCUUUCCUCACUGGGCUCCAGACACACUGGCUUCCUUCCUUCCUGAAGCCUCCAUCUGCUGCCGAGCUCAGGGCUUUGUUAGACGCUCACCCUGCCUGUGUUGCUUCCUGCAGUGUGCUGAAUUGUGUCUCCCAAAAGAUAUGCUGAAGUUCGGACUUCCAGAACCUGUGAAUGUGACCUUAUGUAUAAUAGAAAUAGGGUCUUCGCAGAUGCGAUCAAGUUCAAAUAAGGUCACUCUGGAUGACGGUGGCCCCUAAUCCACUGGCUGGUGUCCUGAGGACAGAGACACACAGUGGGGAGGCCUUGAGAAGAUGGAGGUAAAGGUGGGAAUGAUGCAUCUACAAGCCAAGGAGCACCAAGGAUUGCUGGCAACCACCAGAAACUAGGAAGAGGCAAGGAAAGGCUCUUCCCUACAGCUUUCAGAGGGAGCACAGUCCUGCUGACACCUUGAUUUCAGACUGCUAGUCUUCAGAGCUGUGGAAAAAUACUUUUCUGUUAUUUUAAGCUCCCCAAUUUAUAAUAUUCUGUUAUGGCAGCCCCAGGAGAUGAAUACAUUUCUUUCUCCUCCUUCGUUUCAUACCUCUAGUGCCAUCUCCUUGAAGAGUCGUUCUUUAACUCCCAGUCAUUACUAGGUUCCCAAGUUCUACACCUUUAGCUCUGCAGCCUAUUCCCACGGGAGAUUCUCUUGGUAGCCUCCCCCGACACAGUGUAAGCCCCUUUGUGUCCAGGUUGCUCACUAUGGGUCCUCAGUCUCUGAGAGCGUCUUCAGCACACAUUGCGUGAGCAAUCAAUUUUUGUUGAAUGAAUGCAUUGCAAUCUGGAGUGAGCAUAAGAUCCCAGUCAGAAGAUUGCCCUGGGUGCUUCCCCUAGAAAUCCUCAAAGUACAAUUAUUCAGAUUGAGUCACUCAGCCCAUGGUACCCUACAGUUGCAGAUGACACAAGAAACAUGAGAACCUCUGAGGACUUUCCAAGCUGGGGCCUGUUCUUACUGUUUAGCAUGAAAUGUGUUUUCCUGCUAAGAACAUGAACCAGAAAUGAGUUUUACCGAGUGGUUAGCAAGACCUUAAAUAGAAAGGAAACUCCAAAAAAUGUAACUUCUCUCACACUUAAGCCUCCUUUUCAACUUCCCUUUCCUGCUUCCCAUCACUAGAACCUCCAGAUCUUAUUUCCUGGGUGAUGAUGAAUGGUGGGCCCUAUUUCAGACCUCCCCAAAUUCUGCUGAACUUCCUCUCUUUGGGUUUUAGACAGAGAGGUAUGGUAAGUGCCUCUAGAACUGACAUCUCCUGUGAGACCCUUCUCUUACAUGCUAUGUAGGUUUGGCUGCUGAUGGAUUCAGAAUGGUUUUUAUUGAGCACCUACUAAGUGCUAGCUUUUACACUACGCAUUUUGACACUCUGUAACUUCUUUUUCAUUUAAUCUGUUCCAGAAACUUAUGUUCACUAUGAUGUGAUCUUGCUUUUGAUCCAUUUUACUGAUGAGGAAAUUGAAGCUCAGAGAGGUCAAGUAAUUUGCCUAAGGUCACACAGUUAAUAAAUGGUAACGCCAUUUUCAAUUCUACAUCUGCCUGACUACAAAGUUGGUGGUUUUCCUUUCCUAAAUGUUACAACUAAAAACCCACUCUAGCUCAAAAUGGCAAUGGGCUUUAUUGUAAGGAUUUGGGCUGUGCCUGGGACUGUCUGGUGGUUAUCCAGCAGCCUCUUAGGAGGAGUUGGCCUGUUGGAUUUAUGGACUUGGGACCCUUGGUAUGUGCUCAGCACAUGCCACAGACCUGGCAAGCAUGCUGGCCUGGGGUCAUCUGCUCUUGGGGCUGUGUUUUCUGAUUAAGGGACAUUAGGCUAGCCACUUCCCACAUCCAGCUUCAGUUUCCCCAACUAUAAAAUUAAGACAUAGAUAUGCUUUCCACGCUGCCAUCCUGCCCUGAUAAUCAGAUUUUAGUAUCCCAGGGCUAUAACGCCCCAUUCUUCCAUACCCCUCAAACUCCUGCCUUUCUAUCCUAUCUGGAACUGUGGCUUACAUAAAAACUCCCAAGGCAUCCAUGCAGGUCCCUUCUGUCAGAGGCUCCAGCUUCUCCAUCCCUUUCCUCCCCUCAGUCGACAUCCUCUCCUCUCCUGGAGUUAGUCCUGCUGGGGGACCUUGGGCAAGUUCCUUCACCUCUUUGAGCUUCCGUAUCCUUCUCUUUAAUGAUCUCGAAUGUAACAACCCCACCUCAUAGCCUCAUUAUGAGAGCUAGAUGAAAUGAAACAAUAACCACUGUUUACCUUUCAGGCACCUGGCAGAAGUGCACGCUCUGGAGCUGAGUGGAUGGGUGCAAAUCUUGGCCAUGCUGCUCCUCCACACCCAAGCGGUUUGGGCCUGGACUAGUUGCCUGAUGCUCCACACCUCCACAUGCUCUCUUGUCAGGCAGAAACAGUAACAGCAACCCCCCACGCCUGUUAUGAGAGUUAAGUGAGUUGAUAUUUCUAAAACACAUCAGUGUGGGGCAUUAGGCUAGCCCCUAAUGCCACUCAUGCCAACAAGUGCUGUAGAAGAGUUAGCCAUUAUUCUUAGGUCAGCUAAUUAUCCAAUCAGCCUGACAAAGGAGGUACUGUUAUUAGCCCCAUUUUAUAAACAGGAAAGAUCAGUAACUUGGCCAAGGGCAGAGGGGCAGGCCUUGAGCCCAGACGGAUAAGACAUUCCAGGGGGAGGCUCCUCACCUUCAGUUACACUGACUGCUGGAUAUAAGGGGGCUCCCCACUUGGAGCUUAAAGGUUUGCAAUAGCCACCUUGAAAUUCUUGAAAAUCUUAAUCACUUUAUGUUUGAGUUUGUGUUUUGUAAGUGAAGUUCUGCUUCUGCCACCUCCCCCUUUCCCCAAAUGUGCCCAAGACUGAAGAGGGUCAGAGUCAAUCCCAUAAUUGUGCCAUGGGGCAGGGCUGUGGAGGUCUUCAAGGGGCUGUAUUCACCCUACAAGUAUUCCUGUGCCCAAAAGAGUAUGACAUUAAAUAGCAGAUAAAAACAAAACAAAACACACCAGGACGGAGAUCUCAGAAUAAAGAAAAAAGCUUUUUUUUUUCCUGUUUGAACAAGCAUUUUCAUUCUGCACCAGGCCUUGCUAAUAAGGUAGCCAGAUCUGGGUGCAUAGCAUGUCACGGGCGGGAAUGAAAUGAUAGUACUCUUUCGCUUCAAAAAAAAAAAACCCCAAAAUACUUGUUCCAAGUUUAGUAACUGAGUGCAGUUUGUUCUGACUUUUGAUUCACAGGUAGAGACAAAGUCUUUAGCUGAAAGGUAAUAGUUUUGCCACCUUCUACAAAUAUAGAUAUAUUUUUUCCCUAAAGCCUCCUGAGUCCUUUUUAAGAUUUGCAUCCAAAAUAUGGGCCCUUUGCCACCGACAUUCCUGUUUGGUAGUGGAUGAGAGGGCAAUCUUAUUUUUUUCUUCUUCUGUUGUUAUAAUCCUCAGAUGCAGAGUGUUCUCUUUAAAAGACGCUUUUAAAGGGCAAUUACUUUAUGCAAAUGUGGGCAUCUCUGGAUGGCUGGCAAGGCUGGAGUCAGGCCGUGGAAGCCUGGAAAGUGGACUGCGCGGGCUGGGCAGGGGACCAGGAGGGAGGCCCUGCUUGCCGGUAUCAGCAACUUUCUUCUGCUGCCCCCUGGACCUCUGGGAGAAGACUCAGCAGCCACAGCCAGAGUAAUGGGAAGAUCACAGCCGCAUAGGGCUGUGAAUCAGGGAGGACACCUCAUCUGGUUUAUCUCAUGUGAAAUAGAUGAGGCUCCUUGAGAUCUGAGCAAGCAGCCACUCGAAGCCAAUCAUGGGCGCCACUGCAGACCUGUGUCCAAUGAGAGAUCUCAGUUAAAGUAGAAUAGACCACGCUUCUGUGUCUCCUGCUUCAGUGUAGGCCACAGCACAGCAGAGGGUGGAACAUUCCAGGAAAGAGUUAAGGAUGCAGGAGAAACCCCCUAAGGGAGGCCAGUAUGAGAAAAGGUGGCCUGGGAUUGUAUGGUGGGGGAGAGGCAGCUGGGCUCCAGAUCCUUUUCUUACCCUUGGAGCCUAUGCAGUCUUCAAGAGGCCACUGCUGGCCGGGCGCGGCGGUUCACACCUGUAAUCCCAGCACUUUGGGAGGCCGAGGCGGGCAGAUCACGAUGUCAAGAGAGGGAGACCAUCCUGGCCAACAUGGUGAAAUCCCGUCUCUACUAAAAAUACAAAAAUUAGCUGGGCACGGUGGUGCGUGCCUGUAGUCCCAGGUACUUGGGAGGCUAAGGCGGGAGAAUCUCUUGAAGCAGGAUAAUCGCUUGAACCCGGGGGCGGAGGUUGCAGUGAGCCGAGAUCGCGUCACCGCAUUCCAGCCUGGACAACGAAGCGAGACUCCUUCUGAAAAAAAAAAAAAAGAAGAAGAAAAAAAAGGGGGGCCACUGCUCCAGUGGCUAGGCCCAAUCUCAUUUCCAAAGCUGCUUCAGGCAUCUGUGAAACCCCCAGAUGGAGCAGCCCGGGCUGUGGACACUCUGCCGCAUCCAUGCCUCCUUGUUGCUUAGUGAGCCUGUUCUCAUUACUCCCCCAGCGCCACCCUCUGCAUUUGCUCCACUCCUCCUAGAGAUGCAUCUUUCAUUUUUGCAUCACUAAAUGCACUUCUUCUGUUUCUCUGUUUACCGGAGAAAAAAAUAGGAAGCGUGGGAGGCAGGGCACAACAGUCUUCGCCUCGGGUUCGUUGGAUUAAAAAACGAAGUCACAUGGAAGAUAAAUAACAUGCUCAACAUCACCCAGCCAGAAGUGGUGGAGACAUGGCCAACAUCACAGGGGACAACUCCUGAGCCUGUGCUAGGAACAGCCAGUCUUCCUGAAUUCAUGAUAAAGCAUGAAAACAGAGGCUCACAGAGAUCAUAUUAUUUUCCCCAAGUUGCAAUGAUGGUAAACACAGAUGACAGCUGGACAUCAACUAGGUCUGGGUGGCUUCCAACUCCAGUGACUCAAUGCUGCUCCACACGGCCUUCUUACAAGGAAAAAUGAGAACAGGCCGCGGGCCGGCUUCUGUAAAUCGCGUGUUGUUGGAAUUCCUGUCCUUCCUUGACCCAGAUUUGUAAACAGAGGCUGUGGAAGCCAAGGUACACAUGGGCAGAUGCAAACGAGCCGUCUGCUGAGGAGAAAGUCGAAUGUGCUCGGGGUGGGUGCGCGUCUGCCUGAAGCACGUGUCCCUGAGGCCUCCUGCUGUCUCCCCAGCCGGCUGACGGGCCCGGUGGUCUGCAGAUGGCCACGAAGUGUCUCCGGGCUGUCCAGCUGCAGCCUGGGCGGGCUGGCGGUUUUUUUUUUUUGUGGGGGGAGUGAUUCUGAGGGUGCUGGGUGGCCGCUGACAGAGCUUCCUUCUGCUACUUUUAGGCUUGUUGCUGAGCCUUUUUAAAGGGAAGGGGUGGAAAUAAGCAAAGAUAUUUGCUGUGACCUGGAACUGAAAUGCCUCACUUUAAAAACAGCUAUCAUUUACUCACUCAUCCAAGAAAUACAGGUUGAGCCCCUUCAGAACAACAGGUCCUGUCCUCAGUGCAGCGGAUGCAGCAGGGAUGCAUACAGAGUACCUGUCCUCAGGGAACUUGCAGUUUAUUGGAUGGAGACAGACAACCCAUAAUGAUUUGUAUAAAUGUCUAAUAUAUGCUAUAGAAAGAGAAGCAGCAAAGUAAAGGGGUGAAGGAUGAAAAGGCCAGGGGAUAUUUUUCUGAUGAAGUGACAUUUGAGCAGAUACCCAAACAAAGCAAAGCAGUGGGCCCAGCAGAUAUCUGAGGCCAGGAUGGUCUCUGGCAAAGGGAACAGCGAAUUCAUAAGCCCUGAGCAAGGCGAGCCUUCAAGGGUGUAGGCCUUCUUCAGAUGUUUAAAGAGCACCGUGCUUGGGGAGGGUCUGGAAGCCGCAGCCUGGGAACAAGUGAGAGAACUGAGGUGUUUAGGGCAGAAAAGGGAAGUCUUGUGAGUAGCAGGCAGCUUUCCUCAUGUAAAGGGUUCAAAUGUGGAAGAAGGAUAAGACUUUUUAUUACAUAAUGCCAGAAGUUGUAACCAAAGACCAGACCAGCUGAUGGAAGUUGCUGGAGGCUGUUUGCAAAGGUAUGUUGAAUAAUGCCCUAAGCAUUGGCUCUAAAGAGAAGGAACCCGAUAUUAGUGUAGUAGGGCUGCCAUAAUAAAAUAUUAUAGACUGGAGGCCUCACACAACAGAAAUAUUUUCCCACAGUUCUGGAAGCUGGAAGUCUGAGAUAAAGGUGUUGGCAGUGUUGGUUUCUUCUGAGGCCUCUUUCCUUGGCUUGUGGGUUACCAUCUUCUCUGUAUGCCUUCACAUGGUCCUUUGUAGGACCAUCUGUGUCCUAAUCUCCUCUUUUUUUUUUAUUUUAUUUUUUGAGUUGGAGACUCGCUCUGUUGCCCAGGCUGGAGUGCAAUGGUGCAAUCUCCACUCACUGCAACCUCCGCCUGCAGGGUUCAAGCAAUUCUCUGGCCUCAGCCUCUGGAGUAGCUGGGGCUACAGGCAUGAGCCACAAUGCCUGGCUAAUUUUUUGUAUUUUUUUAGUAGAGAUGGGGUUUCACCAUGCUGGCCAGGCUGGUCUCGAACUCCUGACCUCAUGAUCCACCUUGCUCGACCUCCCAAAGUGUUGGGAUUACAGGCUUGAGCCACCGCACCCGGCCCUAAUCUCCUUUUCUUAUAAGGACACCAGUCAUAUGGGAUUAGAGCCCACUCACAUGACCUCAUUUUUACGUAGUUACCUCUUUAAAGGCCUUAUCUCCAAACAGAGUCACAUUCUGAAGUACUGGGGGUUAGGGCUUCAACAUCUUAAUUGUAAAGAGGGGACACAGUUUAGCUCAUAACAAACUUUUCCUCACAAUUUAAAUUUAUUGAAGAAGCUGAGUUGUUUGUUCUGCACUGAGUUAUUCAUUCUGUCUGGAUUUCUCAGAUUGCCUCUCUGUGGUUCACUGUUUUCCUGGUAAAUGGUACUUAGAUCCUUGAUUGAAUUUAAGUUUGAUUUUCAGGCAAGAAUACUACAUCAGGUGGUGGUGUAUACUUCCAUCCAGAGGCAAAUGAUAUCUUCUUGUCUCUCUGUAAUACACAAAACAAUUUUCAACCAGAAAUGUAGAUGAGUGAGGAUUCUGACGUACCUAGAAUAUUUGGAUGACUGCUGCUUGAAUGGAUGGCCUUGAGACACCUGAAGACCCUGAUGUGCCUUCUGAAUCAUACCACGAUUCAAUUACAUCCAUCAUUUAACAACAACAACAACUCUAGAAGGUAAACAUAAGAAAGGAAAACUUUUGUACGGUGAACUUGGGCUAAAAAGAAGAAUGAUGUCUCUGGAACUUUUGCUGCUUAUAGGAAUGAGAGCAAAAUCCUGGCAUGACCAUGAUCCUUCAAUGAGCACCACUGUGUUGCUGCAUUCUGUCUGGCCAAUCUAGUCUAUAAUAGUUUUUUGUUUUGUUUUGAUUUUUGUGUGUUUUUUUGUUUGUUUGUUUGUUUUGAUGGAGUUUUGCUCUUAUUGCCCAGGCUGGAGUGCAAUGGCAUGAUCUCAGCUCACUGCAACCUCCUCAUCCCAGGUUCAAGCGAUUCUCCUGCCUCAGACUCCUAAAUACCUAGGAUUACAGGCACCUGCCACCAUACCCAGCUAAUUUUUGUAUUUUUGAUAGAGAUGGGGUUUCACCAUGUUGGCCAGGCUUGUCUGGAACUCCUGACCUCAGGUGAUCCACCUGCCUCGGCCUCCCAAAGUGCUGGGAUUACAAGUGUGAGUCAUCACUUUCGGCUAUAAUAGUUUUUAUGCAUCAUAUUAAUUCUGGGUUUUUGCUUUUAAAAAGAAGCCUUUUUUUUUUUUUUUUUUUUUUUUGUAGGGAAGUAAGACUGGAUGGUGGGUUAGCAGGGGACUCGAGAAAAGGCAGUCAGUGCUACAGGCGCAGGGAUAUUAACCUCAGGAGUGACCAGUGGGAUGCAACCAGCCGUUGGGGCUUAAAACUCAAGCACAUUUCUCGGAUGAUAAUUUCAAAGAAGUAGCUAGUUUUGGUUGAGGCUGCCUCUGGACUAUCCCCAGCUUCUCAGUGGAACUCGGUGUUUCUGAAUGAAUCACAAUAAAGAAGCAUUACUUGUGGGAUGUGGCCAACCUUUCUGUUCAGCUUUUAUUGCAGAGCUGAUGGCAGCAGCUGGACUUUACAAAGGUGAUGGUGGCUCAAAGCCUUUCUGUUCCACUGUGUCUCAUAAAGCUUUUAUGAAGCCUCAGUCAUCUCUUCAGCAGAUCCUGUGUCAUGAAGAAGGAUGCAGAGAACACAAGGAGCACCCCAUCCAUGGUGCAUCCCAGGUUUCUAAACCUUCCAGGGAGGGGAAAUCAGCAUUUUUGGCUCUGGCCAAGAAGCCAAAUUGCUGAAGCUAUGGGACUUGUUCCAAACUGCAAGAUCUUAUUUGAUGGGAAUGAUUGUAGCUUUAGGUAAUUCUGCGGCUUAUUGGCUUGGGUGAGAGCUCCCUAGUGUCUGCUGGAAUGUGAUGGCUGUAAGACGCAGGGAGGAGAAAUGGAAAAGGAGCGUCUUUAUUGACCCAACAGAGCCUUGUAAAAAAGCACCAACUACAUAUAUGCAGUCUGUGCAUUUCAAAAGUAACAAACAAACAAAAUCAGUUUACCAACUCUUGGGAGAGAAAAUGGAUUAUCAUUCACUGCAAAUUCUCCUAGGUAAACAGAAGAGUGCUACACCUGUGCAGAGAGAAAAGUUUUAUAUAUGCUCAACUAUGGGUCCUCAGUAUAAUACAGUCCCAUCAUGUAUUUCCUGAGACAUCUACUAAGGAGACUUCCUAGAAUUGAAUCUUUCUCAUCUUUUUUUCUCUUUUCUUCCUCAAGUCUUCUGUGACAUGUGAUAAUACAAAACAAAAUACAGGUCUUAGAAUAAAUGUACCUGGAAUCAAGUCAUUGUG
rnacentral:lncRNA from 1 species